rnacentral:tRNA from 1 species
GGGGAUGAAGCUCAGUGCUAGAGCACAUGUUUAGCAAACAUGAGGCCCCGAGUUCAAUCCCUAGCACCA